rnacentral:misc_RNA from 1 species
AAAUUCUUUGCUUCAUUGUCCGAGGAGGUUUGUGCUGGAACUACACAAUUUCUUCUGGUAAUGCUUUAUUUUGGAUUAUCAUUACUAAGACGUUGUUCGAAAAUGUGACAAUCCAAUGUUUAAUAGUUGAAAUGGAUAUAAUAUUAAUCAUUAUUAUUGUUUGAUGAUUUCUGGUAAACAAUCGGUGCAAAAAGGUUACUGGAAUUUUCCAUCAUAAAAAAUAGGACAUUUGCAAGAUAUAAUGUGAAAAAAUGUACAUGCGACUAAAAUUAGUAAAUAUUUGUUAAAUAAUUUGCGGAUUUGACAAAUUCCAUAACUUACCUUCCUUAAUUAUACUUAGGUGUUCUGUAAGUAGAAUGUGCAACAGUACGUCUUUGUACCCACUUGGAGUUCAGCAAUGCAAUAAUUGCGCAUCUACGUGUACAUAUAUAUACUGUGUUCAUAUGCUAUUAGGGAAAAGAUUUUGGGCCAUUUAGUUGAAUUUAUUUAUCACAAUGCAUGGUUCAAUCUUGAAAGUUCUCGUGGGCAUACCCAAAUUACUUGUUUUCGUGGCCUAGAUAUCGGAGCGCGUUGUUUUUAUUUUUGUGUUAGCUUUUUAAAACUCUGGAAUUUCAUAUGAAGCAUUCAAUUUACAUGCAAUAAGUGUGGUAUUAGAAAAUUGAAAUAUAUGUUUGCAUCCCUAAUGUUAUUUUUAUCAUUAUAUAUUUCCAUAAGAUCGACAUCAUAUUAUAAAAUGAUUUUAAAAGGGCACACAUGAAUUGAAUUUUGAUGCACAACCAGAAACAAAAAUAACCGUGUUUUUGGUACAUUUUUGCAUAAUUUAUUUGUUUCUUUUAUUGUUGAUCAUUCUAAUAAAAUACUUUUAAUAAAAGAUGUUAUUUUU